AAUCCAUAGGUUAAUGAGGCGAACCGGGGGAACUGAAACAUCUAAGUACCCCGAGGAAAAGAAAUCAACCGAGAUUCCCCCAGUAGCGGCGAGCGAACGGGGAGGAGCCCAGAGCCUGAAUCAGCAUGUGUGUUAGUGGAAGCGUCUGGAAAGGCGCGCGAUACAGGGUGACAGCCCCGUACACAAAAGCGCAUGUGCUGUGAGCUCGAUGAGUAGGGCGGGACACGUGGUAUCCUGUCUGAAUAUGGGGGGACCAUCCUCCAAGGCUAAAUACUCCUGACUGACCGAUAGUGAACCAGUACCGUGAGGGAAAGGCGAAAAGAACCCCGGCGAGGGGAGUGAAAAAGAACCUGAAACCGUGUACGUACAAGCAGUGGGAGCACCCUUCGGGGUGUGACUGCGUACCUUUUGUAUAAUGGGUCAGCGACUUAUAUUCUGUAGCAAGGUUAACCGUAUAGGGGAGCCG
rnacentral:rRNA from 2 species